rnacentral:rRNA from 1 species
AUGCAAGUUCGAGCGCGCCCUUCGGGGUGAGCGGCGGACGGGUGAGUAACUUUGGGAAUAUGCCCUUCUCUAAGGAAUAGCCUCUGGAAACGGAGAGUAAUACCUUAUACGCCCUUUGGGGGAAAGAUUUAUCGGAGAAGGAUUAGCCCGCGUUAGAUUAGGUAGUUGGUGGGGUAAUGGCCUACCAAGCCUACGAUCUAUAGCUGGUUUGAGAGGAUGAUCAGCCACACUGGGACUGAGACACGGCCCAGACUCCUACGGGAGGCAGCAGUAGGGAAUCUUAGACAAUGGGGGCAACCCUGAUCUAGCCAUGCCGCGUGUGUGAUGAAGGCCCUAGGGUCGUAAAGCACUUUCGCCAGAGAUGAUAAUGACAGUAUCUGGUAAAGAAACCCCGGCUAACUCCGUGCCAGCAGCCGCGGUAAUACGGAGGGGGUUAGCGUUGUUCGGAAUUACUGGGCGUAAAGCGCACGUAGGCGGAUUAGUAAGUUAGAGGUGAAAUCCCAGGGCUCAACCCUGGAACUGCCUUUAAUACUGCUAGUCUUGAGUUCGAGAGAGGUAAGUGGAAUUCCGAGUGUAGAGGUGAAAUUCGUAGAUAUUCG